CUGAUCAACAGAGACAUCUUAGUUUCCAUAGAAAAUUAAUAAGGAUAGUUCUCUGGAUGAGAAUUUAUUGUGAGUGCCUUGAGAAUGAACUGCUGUAAUGAAAAUUUUCAUGGAGAUGGAGCAAGAUAGCCAAAUAGAAGACUCCAGCAAUCAUCCUCCCAAAAGGCACAUCAAAUUGAACAGCUAUCCACACAUAAAAGUGCCUUCAUAUGAACCAAAAAUCAGACAUAUUUUAAAACUAUAAAUCACAAUGAGGAAGUCAUUAGGGAUUCAAAGAAAAAUCUUCAAUAGAAAGACAUGUGACAGUAAGGAAUCUUACAUUAAUAGCGGUGGUGGCCCAUCUGGAGUGAUCACUGGGAGGAUGCUGGCUGUAGCAGGUAAAGUAUGGCUGGGGCUUCAUGCU
rnacentral:lncRNA from 1 species